AUGUUGUUUGCGCAUGUGACAUUCAUGUGAAUGGUUUACGUACUUGCUUGCUUGACCGCCUGACAGCCCAGUCGCUAUCAUCAGCAGCAUUACGUUACAGUGUGUCUGUGAUUACUAAUUGAUGUUACUGUAUAGAAACGUUAUCUUUUAAUUGGCGAGGGGACCGCUGGUUAGGCAAAUGGUUUACGUAUAUUCAUGUGACGCUUGCCUGCGUUAGUCACUAUCAACAGCAGCCACAAACCCUGUUAUUAUCUUUUAAUAAUGGAGACUGCUGACUGUUUACCUACGAGAUACCGCGCCGGUCAAUGAUUAAUUUGAGUCUGCUCGGUUCUCCUCGGGCUUCAAUAGUGUCUAUUGUUUAACCAGCUAGAAGUCGUUAUCAAUUACGUUCGGUUGCUCUCGGGACUUAACAGCGCAUCAUAACGUUAGCGGUUUACUCAACCCACUCUCCAGCAUCCUGUCCUGACUCCUCGUGGUCGAUCGUCUGCUGAGAACGUCUGCUGACAGACAGGUGAUAUCAAGUGCAAGCUUUCACCAGCUACAACAAAGUCAGUAGAUGGAAAUAUGGUGGCCUUUCAAGGAAUGGUCCUCAAGGACAAGGAUGACAAAACAACUGGCAAUAUGGGAAGACAUGGUAAACACCAUAGAAAAGGGGCAAAUUUUGCAGUUAACCAAGUGUAAAGUUCGACUGUUUAAUGACGAGAAGCGCCUGACUACUACUCGUGGAUCACUUUGUGAGAAAUACAACCAUUAUGGAACCCUGCAGAAAUAUCUCAUCCGAAGAUGACAAUGAUGAUGCGAAUCUGAGCAGUUCUGGUGGCAAAUUGUAAAACGGAUCCCUCUGUGCUGUAUACGAUAUUGAUCCUUAUCUUUCUUGCCCCUACCCAGGGUGCAACAACAAGAAACAAUCCACAGUAAAAUGUGAUGACCAAUACAAAAUGUUCUGUUGCUCAUGCAAAGUUACAUACACAGCCAGCAG